AGAUAUCUGAUGUGUACGCGAUACCUCAUAAUGCGUAAACCCUACAACUUAUUUAUAAGGGAUCCUAAUGAGGUUGAGGAUGACAAGCCUUUUCAUUUGGAAGUCAGAAUCAAUCUUUGUGGAGCCCACCUGAAAAUAUCGGGUUCUAACCUAGAGGUAAACAACCGGCACUAUCGGAUAUCUC
rnacentral:other from 1 species